rnacentral:sRNA from 1 species
UAACGUUCUUGAGAAAAACGCCACUGGUCU